rnacentral:rRNA from 1 species
GACGAACGCUGGCGGCGUGCUUAACACAUGCCAGUCGAACGCUGAAGCUCAGCUUUUGUUGGGUGGAUGAGUGGCGAACGGGUGAGUAACACGUGAGUAACCUGCCUCCUUCUUUGGGAUAACGCCCGGAAACGGGUGCUAAUACUGGAUAUUCACUGGUCUUCGCAUGGGGGGUGGUGGAAAGGGUUUUUCUGGUGGGGGAUGGGCUCGCGGCGUAUCAGCGUGUUGGUGGGGUGAUGGCCUACCAAGGCUUUGACGGGUAGCCGGCCUGAGAGGGUGACCGGUCACAUAGGGACUGAGAUAGGGCCCAGACUCCUACGGGACGCCGCCGUGGGGAAGAUGGCAGAAUGGGCGCAAGACUGAUGCAGGGCCGCCGCGUGAGGGAUGGAGGCCUGAGGGUUGUGAACCUCUUUCGCUCAUGGUCAAGCCGCAACAAUGGUUGUGGUGAGGGUAGUGGGUAAAGAAGCGCCGGCUAACUACGUG